rnacentral:lncRNA from 1 species
CUUUCCAUUUCAGGGACUUUCUCUAGAUUCAAGGAUUACCUGUGUUUGAAAAUCUAAUAAUUUGAUAGGAAGCAGAAAGUGUUUCCUAUCAAAAGCACAACAAUCUAAAGCACAACUUCCUUCAAAUUCUGAAUAAGUUGCCUUCAUUCUUUCCAUUUAAGAAAGAACCACAUUGUAAAAAUAUUUUUUUUACUUGAAAAUAUUCAAUUUCAAGAUUUUCCUGUGUAGACAGCAAAAUUUUCUUUCAACUCAGUGGACAUAGUUCUGUAGCUUACUAUUUUCUCUUGUCAGAGAAAUGGAAAAACAUGGAAAUUGAAAAUUUGAGGAUAUAGAGAUAUUUAUUAUGAGCUGCAUUGUAGUGUAGUUUCCAGAGACUCCAUUUGAUUAACUUAAUACAUAAUCAAUCUUUGGACAUGUAAAUUGCAGGUCCCAAGCACUAUAAGUUCAAUAAAUACUUCCUGUAAUAUUAAGUGGACCGUGCUUUCAGUCAGGAU